rnacentral:rRNA from 1 species
ACGGGACCCCGCACAAGCGGUGGAUCAUGUUGUUUAAUUCGAUGAUACGCGAAGAACCUUACCAGGUCUUGACAUCCCUUGCAAAGCUAUGGAGACAUAGUGGAGGUUAUCAAGGAGACAGGUGGUGCAUGGUUGUCGUCAGCUCGUGUCGUGAGAUGUUGGGUUAAGUCCCGCAACGAGCGCAACCCUUAUUGCUAGUUACCAUCAUUAAGUUGGGGACUCUAGCGAGACUGCCAGUGAUAAACUGGAGGAAGUGGGGAUGACGUCAAAUCAUCAUGCCCCUUAUGACCUGGGCUACAAACGUGAUACAAUGGCUGAAACAAAGGGCAGCGAAGCAGUGAUGUGGAGCGAAACCCAAAAAAGCAGUCUCAGUUCGGAUUGAAGUCUGCAACUCGACUUCAUGAAGUUGGAAUCGCUAGUAAUCGUAGAUCAGAACGCUACGGUGAAUACGUUCUCGGGGUUU